rnacentral:rRNA from 1 species
AGAGACAGCAGCAGCCACGGUAAUACGUAGGUCCCGAGCGUUGUCCGGAUUUAUUGGGCGUAAAGGGAGCGCAGGCGGUUUAGUAAGUCUGAAGUUAAAGGCAUUGGCUCAACCAAUGUAUGCUUUGGAAACUGUUAGACUUGAGUGCAGAAGGGGAGAGUGGAAUUCCAUGUGUAGCGGUGAAAUGCGUAGAGAUUAGGAGGAACACCAGUGGCGAAGGCGGCUUUUUGGCCUGUAACUGACACUGAGGCGCGAAAGCGUGGGGAGCAAACAGGAUUAGAUACCCCCGUAGUCCCUGUCUCUUAUACA